rnacentral:pre_miRNA from 2 species
UGUGUAGAGGUGGGAAAGAUGCUGUUAUUUCUCAGCAAAAUUUCUUGUCUCUCUCUGU